AUUGAACGCUGGCGGCAUGCUUUACACAUGCAAGUCGAACGGUAACAGGCCGCAAGGUGCUGACGAGUGGCGAACGGGUGAGUAAUGCAUCGGAACGUGCCCAGUCGUGGGGGAUAACUAUCCGAAAGGAUAGCUAAUACCGCAUACGAUCUGCGGAUGAAAGCGGGGGACCUUCGGGCCUCGCGCGAUUGGAGCGGCCGCUGGCAGAUUAGGUAGUUGGGGGGGUAAAGGCUCACCAAGCCAACGAUCUGUAGCUGGUCUGAGAGGACGACCGGCCACACGGGGACUGAGACACGGCCCAGACUCCUACGGGAGGCAGCAGUGGGAAAUAUUGGACAAUGGGCGCAAGCCUGAUCCAGCAAUGCCGCGUGCAGGAAGAAGGCCUUCGGGUUGUAAACUGCUUUUGUACGGAACGAAACGGCUCUGGUUAAUACCUGGGGCUAAUGACGGUACCGUAAGAAUAAGCACCGGCUGACUACGUGCCAGCCGCCGCAGUAA
rnacentral:rRNA from 1 species